GUUGUACCUAUUGCAUGAAUAGGAGCUGUCAUUGACGUUCCUACACGUCCCAUAACAUCUUCGUCUUUGUCCUUCACACUUUAGGUUAGGCAAAUGACUGUUCUACCAACCAUACAUCAGUAUUCAACGCAGGCGUCGCGAGAUAUUAAUACUGUUUGAACACAUUGUAAUGUACUCACAUUACAACGUGACUAUAAAGUGUGAAAUCCCUAAUAUUCUUUUUCAAAUUAUGUAAAUUAUUCGGCAACAAAUGUCACACUUAACAUGAAGUGCAUGAAAGACAGACGGAGACAAGUUUAGCGGUCACUUUGCAAUGCACAAAUAAUGUAGGUACGACCCCCAAGUCUCCUUUUCUUCUGCCGAAAUAAAAUAGAUCAUUAUCAGCUGAGUAUUUCUGGUAUUAGCUGUCGCUGUGACAUAUUGAGGACAAUGGCCAGCGGAUCUGUAGUGUUUUUGUGGCCAUUAGCGUUUUAAUAACUGUCCAUUAUAGUUGUUCGUGAGAUGUCCUAUAUGGCAUGCAUGUGUUUGUGGUGUUAAAUGUGUCAUUGUGAUGGUGGAGCUCAGGGCCGGGAUGCGUCCUGGUAUAUAAGGCCGUGUCUGGACCGCUGGUGGCAGACGAGUCCCAGCCCCCGAGAGCAGCACGCCAGUCUAGCAGCAGUCUAGAUCAGGUCCUUGUGUUAGCUGAGUUUGUGAAUUAAACGGAGCAAUAUGUUCAAGUUGGCCGUACUCCUGGUGGCCGUGGUCGCGAUGCUGGCUCCAGCGGCGGCCAAGCCUGCGGUACUUGUAGAAACGCCAGCGUACCCGUGGGUGACCUAUUCCUCGCCCGCAGCCGUCGGCGACGGCAUCGUCUACCCCCUGUACUAUAGCCCUUACGCGUACAACCCGUGGGGGUAUGCCUCCUCGUGGUUUUGGUAAUUUUGUGUGACUGAAGAUUAAUUAUGUUUAAUCUGUUGUGAUUAUUGUUUAUGCUAAAAGUUAUAGUCCAGUACGGGUGUUCGAUUUGUUAACGAAAAUGUACAGUUUAAUGUCAAAAAGGGAUAAGGUAGGAUUAUGUAUCUCUGUUUACAUAAUAUAUUAUUUAAAUUAGAGUAAUGAUUUGUUAUUUACAAAUGGGAACAUAAUAAUGAUAAUAAUAAAAAAAAAGUGGCUGAUUU